UUUUAUUAUCAUUUUAUGUUUAACCCUUUUUUUCCCUGCCCCUUUUUUUCUGCCUUCUGUCCAUUCGAUGCAGCGGAUGACUAGGUUAAAAAAAAAUCAGCAAUAGGCAACUAGUUUUUAGUAGUCUUUAUUUAUUUAUUUAUUUUUCAGCCAAAGGUGGGAGGAGGCAGCGAGGAGCGGAAGGGACAGGGAGAGAGCGGCGAGGGCUAACAAAGAGUCAGGUGCAGUGGCGGGUGCGGCGCCGGCGUGCUCGGGCUCUCUGGUUUCGAAGCAUUCCCGGUGCGAUUAAACAGGAAAAUAGAAAGGCGUUGCGAGAGCAAGGCAGAUUUCUAGUGGUAGUUACGGGCUCUGCAGGGAGUAUAUGUGUUUUGUCAGAAAGAGCCCAUUACUGUAGUGAUGGAGAAGGAUGUACCACCUAGUUCUGUGGGACAGCAGUAUUUGAAGAUAUGCCUGGCUUGCUUUUGCUUUUUUUUGCACUCCAAAAUAGGCUGCUGCUUCUCUGGGCGCAGAGCACCUUCGAAUAUAUGAAUGCAAGCAGUCUGGAUGCCUGGCUUAGAACGUAUUUCAUGGUCAGUGGAAAAAAAUGAGGAAGACGAGGGUGUGGCUGCUGCUUUUAGAGGGUCUGGCCAUGCAGACAGGGAUUGGCUUUGAAGUUGCGGUCCUUCGUCGUUACAAAAUGAAGAAUUCUUUUAGGCUACUUGAGCAACAAGCGGGAAGGCACGCAAUAGAUGCUUCUUCGUCUGCCUCUUCUCUAUAGUUUUGGACACAUACCAUGUUGGUGGAGCAGGAGGCUUUAGCCACGUUGGAUGUCCACAGCACCGCUGCCUUGCCCAGAGCAUCCCGCUCCACUGGCUCUUCACAGGGCAGGGCUGAACAGAGAACCUGCGGUAGUGCUGCUGUGUUUGCUGUGCAGAUCUACCUUCUCUACCAUGCUCCUCUCUGGAGAAGGGAGCACACCGCUGUCUUUAACUGUUGCAGACUUCCAAGCCUUCUUUUUUUCUUUUUGCUCCUCCUUCAGAUUAUGUGCUGCAAUAUGGAUUUGCCCAAUACAGAGUAGUGUAACUCCCUCUUGUAUGAGACAUUUUUUUCUCUUUCUGUCAUUCUUUCUCUCUCCUCGUUUUAAUCAUUUUCUUGGCAUUCCAGUCAUUUCAAGUAAAAUGGUAACAUAUUUCCCUUACUUUUCUUGAAGUUUUGUUAUUUUAGCAAACACUUCCAAUUGUCUGCUCUUACAUUUAUUCUGAAAUACAGCAAAAUAAGCUAUGUAAACAAAAAAGUGGCCAAGCAACUCAAAUAUCAUUCCCUUUUAAUGAAAACUUACAUUCAAAGCUGAGCCAAAUGUGAACAGCACAGAGUUAGUAUGUAAGUAGCAAGUGACGCUGAAUACAGCAAUACUGAAACCAACCCUUCUGUUUCCUUUAUUCGUUACUUGAAAUUCCCCGAGACUCACAGCUUUAGAUUUUAAUGGAAGCUAGAGGGGAAAGCUAUGCUUACUGUACCCAUUGUCCAAUAAAAAUAAUAUUGUCAGGUUAGCAUGCGUAUAUUCUUCACUUAUGUUCAUUAGUUAAAAUUAAUGUGUUUACUAAUGAAAAUACAAGGUCCACCUGCUCUCACCAUGUGUUCUUCAGUAGUGGUGUUGCUUUUCUGUUAUCUGCAGGAUUUUAAAGACUAAAGAAAGUGUCAAGGCAGUGUCAGUUGCAUUUAUUUUUGUUAUGGGGUUGUUUUUUGUGUGUUUGUUGUUGUUGUUGUUCAUUUGUUUGUUUUGCCUUAAAGCACUGGUGGGAUUGUGUUUAGUAUGGAGUUGAAGAUUUGUAGGAGAAUUUUAAUGUGGACAGCUGCUUAGAGUAAAAUGAAAAUAAAGAAAACAUUUCACCAGUAUUCAAAUUUUAAAACACUUUUUUUUUUUCCUCAAAAUAUAUUGGAACCCUAGAAUAAAUAUCAUAUGUGCCUGCUUGAAAAGAAAGCAAAUUUUUUUCUGAGUGCAUUAAAUAUCUCAACAUAUGUAUGAUAAUACACUAAGAUGUGGUAGUAAAAGUGCUUCUUCCAAAAGCUUCUUAAUGAGUGGAGCUUUUUGGAGUUUUUCUGCUUUGGAUACACCUGAGUAAAAACUCUCAAGAUAUUUGUGGUAAAGUUAUCUUUUCCCUCCUUCUCUACCUUAUAAAGCUUAACAGUAUCUUUGUCUUUUCAAGACCUUUCUUAUUUCCUAGACAAAAACGUUACUGAAAUUAGAGAUGUGAACUCCUACAUUAUUUUUUCUAAACUUACUUUAUCAAAAUUGUUUCCAAAUGUGACCCCUGCAGUGAAAACUAAGUAAAAACUAUUCGUAUUAAACAGUAUCCUCUGUAAGCAACUGUUGUACACCUGUCUGUUCUGCCUUUAAUAUUAAGCCAUUUCUAUUACCCAUUGAUUUUUUAUUAUUUUUUGAUCCUUUGGACAAUGAUUUGCUAUAUUUCUAAGGAAAGAAAAAUUAAAAAUUAAAAAAUUGUCUAGUAGAACAUGAGUUUGGUCAGGCUUCAGAUGUAUUGUAGCAAUUCCUGAGUCUGCUCUUUACUUUUUUUUUUUUUUUUUUUUUUUUUUUACCUUUUUCUAAAUACUGGACUAUCAGAUAACAUAUUUAGGCCCAUUGUAACUUAGUAAAAUUCAUUUGAAGUAAAUGCUUAUUUGCCCGUCUUGUCUUUAGGUAAAGUCUCUUCUUCUACCUCUUUCCUUUAAGUACUAGAAUUAAAAAUAUAUAUGUUAAAGUAUAUUAUGUUAAAGUUUCAAAAUGCUGCAUGUAUAGAUAGCUACGUAUCAUACAGUUAUGUAUGUGGGGUUUAAAAUUAAUAUUGGGGUGAACAGAAAAUAAAAGAGACUUCAGUUGCACCUGUAAAAAUAAAAAUGCUUCUUCCCUGUGAUACUGCUGUGUUACAUUUUUCUGCAGUACGAGAAUACCAUCCUUACGCUUUCCACAGGCAUUAUCCGCUUUGGACAGAAAAAUGUAUGACAGCCUCAAAAUGGCGUUCCCUGCUAGGGAAAUGCAAAGACAAAAGCUAGAAUAAUACAGUAGUUCCAGCACAAAAUGGUCUUUUCCAAUGGAUUAAAUUUCUUACCCUGGUUAAGGUUUUGGCCACUUGCUGGCCAGUAAAAGGUGAACACUAAUACAGUAAAUCUGAUAUUCCUAUAAAAAUUUUCCUCUGUAUGAAUGGGAUAGCCAUUUGCUAUCUGAGCAUGUGUGUAAGUACAGUAUUAAAGCAAAAUUGUGUUUUGCAAAUCCCCACAAUGAAUCUCAAGUAUCUGUUUUGCUCUACCCUCUGUGCUGAAAGCUCACAGCACUGCCAGCUGAGUGCUGGAACAAAAUUCUGGUUUGUGUAUGCAGUGCAUUAGUCGAUGAAAUACCUGAUCUUUAUGACAGUUUCCCUAAUUGUUUCAGGUCUAUUAAGGGAUUGAGGUCUUAAAUUCAGGUAGUUACAGAACAGUUAGUUGGUUGUACAUGUUCCCUGAAUGUAGUGGGGUGAGCUGUUAUGGUAAUGUUGAAGGGAUAAAAUUAGUGCGGAUAUAGUACCAACUUUUUUUGUAUAGUUCUUAUGCUACAUUUUAGAUAUUUUGACAUUCUCUAAAUGCCUCGUUUAUUUGUGUAACUAGAAAAAAACAAUUAGUCCUAAACCAUGUCUCCCACCAUUUUCCUGUUAAAAUUCAAAUUUAACCCUUUAUUAGUAACCUUUAGGCUGUAUUAUUAAAUUAGUGUGAUUUAUACUGAGCAAUAUCAUAUAAACAGAACAGUCUUACUCUAAUAGUCUUUACACUUACUGGCCCAUUGUAACACGAGACUAUACAAGCACAUAUACAAAUACAUACAUAUCUCAUGAGUAGGUCUACCAUGUUACACACAGCACACAUACAUGUAUGCACAUACAGAAGAGAAUGAAGUAUGACAUUUUUUUAAAACAGGUAUUGGGUGGAGGGGGAAUUGUUUCCUGUUCUUACAGCUAAAUGAUGGAAGCUAUUUAGGCUUUGGAUGACAACUUUGAUUUUGGUAUUUGGCUUUAAAAGUUUUUGAAAAGCAGAUGUAUUUCUAAUUGAGUCAGGGAGAGUCUCACUGUCUUGUUGCCAGGAGACAAAAGGUGUCUGUCUAUUUUUUUUUCUUCCAUGAUUUUCUUAUUAAGUUGCUUGUUUGCACUAGAAAAAAACACUGUACAGUUUUCUUGAAUUUUUUUGAUGCACCAAGAAAAGUUGAUUGCAUGAUGUUUCUGUUAAUAAUGUGUUCUGGGAAUAUAAAAUCAAGAGCUGACCUUUUAAGAUCUCAAUGCUUUUAUCAUCCACCUAAAAUCUCCAGUAACACGUAUUUAUGCCCUGGCAAAAAAUGGUUAAGUUUGUAACUUAAAAUUUCCAUGGAUUAGUCACUGAUAACCCCUGAGAAUUUUCAGUGUUUUGGAAAGGAAGUGUUUUGAAACAACUCAAAAAAUAGCUCACUAGGAAAGUCUGGAAGCAGUUUUUCGUAAUUUUCUCCUUUAAUUUUUUUGGUGAUGCCAGUGUUAUCAUUUGUAUUGCACUUUAUUAGCGUAGAUAGCAUAGUAAAAACCCAAGUAAAUAUUUUGCUUAUAAGAGUGUUUGUAGAAGCUUUGUCAGGUUGCAAUAAGCUUCAUUAAAAUAAUGCAUAUUAAAUUAUGGCAUACAUUUAAUCCCAAUGGAUGCUGAUUAAUCUUUUACAAAGUAAAAUGAGAAAUUACAAAGAAAUAUUUUUUGCCAUAAAUUCCUGGUUUGCUGGCAAUACCGAAAUGACACUCUCUUUUUAAAAAUAUUUUACACGAUAUCUAAUGCCAAGGUAACAGAAUGCAAAGGUCUCUUCUUUCCAUACAAACAUAAAUGGUUCAAUCGAGACGGUGGUAUUCCAAACUGCGGCCUUGCUGCUACAUCUGCUUUUGAGCUCCACAGCCGAAAAUGCACCACUGCAGCUGGUGUUAGUGGAGUUCACUUGAACUUCCACUUCUGCAAGUUUCAUAAUGGUGUGCGUUGUUCACAGCAUGUAUUUGGGAGUGGGGUGGUAGCCCAUUCAAAUCUUCUAAGAAUCUUUAUAUGUAUUCUGUCAUUUUUGUCAAAUGUGAAAUGCCUGUGUAUAUAUAUCACAGAAUGCUUAAAUGUAUCUCUGUAUGGGAAUACAUAUUUCUAGACAAAGGAAAUACAGAAUCGCAUAUGUGUGUGACAUUUUGUUUACUAAAACUGAAAAAUUGCAGAAUACUGUUAAAGCUGAAUAUGUAAAUUUAGACAUCCUUUCAAAGUGUAAGAAGUUUGAUAAUGAAUACAAGUGUGACAACUUUAUUACAUGUGUAACAUGACAGAGGGGAAAAAAAUGAUUCCCAGGAAGACAGUUCAUGGAACACAAGUUUUAUAAAGUACUGAAUCGAAGAUGGUGGUUUUUUUUUCACAACUGUAAUCUAUGCUUGCAAUAAAGAAUGUAAAGCCUGUAUUAUCUGCACAGAUAAAUACAUUAAUACUUUCAAUGGGACUAUUACACCAUCGACAUAUUUUAUGGUAAUAACAGUAAUGUGUCAAUAUCGUUCAUGUUAUGAGAUUUUUUUCUAAGAGGGAUUUAAAUUUACCAGUGCCAAUAUACUCUGCUACACUCUGAGACUCCAGUAAUAUUUUAGAUAACCAAGUGAGACAGAUGAAUCUAAGAUGCACCUCGCGCACCAUAUAUUUUAGUUUUAAAGGGUUAAAGAGAAAUAUUUAAUUUAACUGUAAAAAUAAAGUUGCCUAUAUAAAAUAGAUAUACUAAUAUUCAGCUCAUAAAGUGAUAAUGUACCUGUGAAUUCUCUGUCUAUAACCAUUCUGGAUUAAGUAUUUUUGUAUGUACUAAAUUGCAACUAUGCUAUGAAUAUGUUAUCACAAUGGACAACCCUUUUUAUUUUCUUCCAACAUAUGCAUAAUUUUCACCCUUACUAAUAUUUCAAUACAAAAAAGCACAUGGCAAUUUCUGUCGUAUGUUCCCUUUUUUGUUCCCACUGCAAUUUACUUUGUUCAGCACUGAAGCACCCUAUUGCAAUUAAAAAUCAGAUACUCUUAACAUGUCACAAAACUUGGUCGGUUGAGAGUUCUUGCCUAGUUGAAAAGCCUGUGAGUAAUUUACAAUAUUGAAAGUAUUUUAAUCCCUUUUUUUGUAGACCUAAGAAAUUUUAAAUUUUCAUUACAGAUGUCAUUGUGUGCAUUUGCUUACUUUUUGCAGCUUAUCCUUCUCUAAAAAAUAGCAUAUUAUUAUUUUUCAAUAAGAUAUUUACCAUUUUUCUUUUUCUUUCUUUCUUUCUUUCUUCUUCCUCUUUUUUUUUUUUUUUAAUUCUCCUCCGCCCCAACCCUCCACAGUAGCUGUUUCUGCAGGGCAUCCAACUUUAAGCAGACCUGCCCAUUUAAAUAAACAGAGGGGUGGUGUGUUUUAAAAUCCAAUUGCUCAUUUUAACUCCACGUUCGUAGUGAAUUCAGGAGAAAAGUAUUGACAGAACAGAAUAUUUGUAGUUGGGGAACUGGAGAUGUCAGUCACUGCCGAAGGUGCAGUAAUAGUGGAUGGUAAGAGUCUUUUGACAUUUCUAGGUUGCGAGCUUUGCAUGUGAAAUGUGGCAUUUCCUAGGAAGAGUGCUGUCUGUCUUCCCUCUGAGCAUAGCUGGAGGUCCUGCAGAUGAGGGAAGUCUCUGCUUUUUCUGUCGGAGUCACAAACCCUUGGUGGCCAUUUCUGACUCCUGGGCUGGCCGAUGCCUGCCGCGAGUGGUAGCCGGGACCAAGGGCCCCUGGGCACCCUCUGAGUGGCGCGGGGAGCCGGGGCUUCGAGGCAUUCACACCUGCAGGGGCUGCUGGCCGGCCCAGGUGAGCAGGGCUGGGGGGCCAGGAGUGCUGUGGGCUCCCAAAAAAGAGCAGGAGACAGCGAUCUGCAGCGUGGAGCUGCACCGUCAGUGCUCGGCGUGAAGAAUAGGCUGCAGUCUGUCAGAGCAUGAAUUGGUAUGACCAGGGGAAACUGGAUGUAUUUUUAAAGCUUAGUUACAUCGUAAUAAAACAAAAUAGUGAUGCUUUACAGCUGAGGAGCUUUCUUCUUAUCUGACGAUAAAACUAGAUGUGAGUGUACCGCUGCUUAGUUUCCAGCCUGCACCUCCUUCACAAAUACAUGCUGCAGUUACAUUAGCCCCCGGGAACUUUGUAGCAUAUUUAUGAUAAAUAAGUAGAAGCCAGCAAAUAAAAUCUUAUCUUGGGCUUUGAUUUGUUGCUUGUGAUGUAAAUUUUCAUCAGUAAGCAUGGUAUAUAAGCAAAAUAUUAAUACCAUCAGUUUCAGGCAUACAGCUUUGUAUAGUAAAAAAUAAAUAAAUAGUUGCAAGAUAAACAAAAUUGUGUUGGUAACACUCUUUAAAAAACUGCUAAUGCCAUGCGCUGUUUAAUGCCUCCUUUCCUUGAAAAAAUAAAAAUAAAUAAAAAUAAAAAAAAUUGUCCUACUGCCAGAUUUUCAUUUGUGUUGAUACCAGUUUAAUGCCAAGUUUGCUGUAAAACAUUACUGUUAAAAUACAGUGUACUGAAAGAAAUGUUUUUGCAAAAUGCUUCAUUAUGUUUUUGUAGGGAAGGAUGUUGGAAAUACAUCCUUCUUCAGCAAUGCCUUUACAGUUUGGAAUUGCUUACUUCAAAAUUGUCUUUAUUUGGUAUUUGAAUGUUUUCCCCCUUAAAUUUCCAGCACUGAUCCACUGGAAUUAAUGUGAGUUAAUUCAACAGUAGAGUAGAACUUUCCCAACCUAUACAAUAUGUAAUUACUUCCUUUCUAUGAAGUACAGGCAUAAUCCCGCAGAGCACCUUCGAUCCCUUUAGAGAACAAUAGGCAAGACUGCUUUUAUUUUAUUUAUUUAUUUCAUCUGUGGAAAGUGUCUUUAAAAAGAAAUGCUCUCCAAAUGUUAAGUAUAGCUAUUCUUAGUGAUAAUGCUUAUAACAUAUACUGGAAUUAUUUUAAUGAUAUGACAAGUAAAAAUUCAAAAAUGUGAGUUUGCACUCCUAUGGAUAACUUUAUCCUAAAAGUCUAACAUGUUUGAUAGGAUUAUUUUUCUAAAAAAAUACAUACCUGCUAAUUUUUUAUUAAACAUUUCUGGAGGUUGUUAGAUUGGAAAACAUCCAAUCUUGGAAAUGAUAUAUAUUAUUUAGAAAGAAAAAAUCACAAAUCUCUUCAGAGAUAGUUUGUUGCUUGUAUUGCAUAAAACGUAGACUAUUUUUCUUGUUAAAAUACAAGAAGACGAAAUAGUGUAUUAGCAGAAGUAUCUAUUAAUGAGUUUCCAAUAGACAGAACUUGUGAUAAGAGGAAAGAAAAGGGUUAUAAAAUUAUGUAAUAGUAUAAACAAACUUCAGUGCAAAACUCUCACCAUAUUACCAUUUAUGUAAUUUCAAUUUAUUCAUGGAUAAUUAAUGUUGAAAUAAUUCCUCCACUUUCUUUUUUGGAAUUCCAUUUCUCUUAAGUGAAGCUUGCAAGUUAGACUUCACUUAAUUGCUUUUCUGAGUCCUUAUUUUUUAGUACUGUAGUAACCUAAAAUUAGAUGACUUGCAAUCUUGCUGAAAAUAGUGUCCGAGAGAAAGGGUGAAGAGUCAUUCAGAAAUCCUAUUAGAUGCAAGUAAAACACUGCCAGCUAAGUUAUUUAUAUACUUGAGUCUAAUCCUUCCUUAAAAAAUAGGUCUGUCUUCUAUAUUACAUCGGCAUCAAAAGUUGUUGAAUGCACUAUCCCAUGUAAUCUCUUCUCUCUGUGCAGGGUUAACAUUCUCAUCUGUGCAUGUCUGUUAAAAUAAAUACUAUCACGAAUGUCAUGUCAUUAUUUUUAAACAAAAAUGAUAAGAGUUUUAGCUGGACACUACGGCUAUCUGUUGCUAAGUCUGUUAUCCAGAAGUUAUCCAGAAGUUCUGCUUGCUUUUACUUUUUAACCACCCAGAAUGUAUGAAUACAUAUCCUCCACAGCCUGUACACAACAGGUACCUCAGUUAUUAGAAGAAGAAUUCAGAAUUACUAGGUGUGACAUAAAACUUUGUGGGAAAGUUGCUGUUUAAAUAUCUUGUCAGCUACAUCCUGAUAAUCUUGAGUCUGUUUUUACUGUAAUUCUCAAAAAAUAAAUAUUAAAAACAUUUUGUGGUUUCACACUAUUAAAAAAAAGGGGGGGGGGAGGGAGAGAGAAAAGAUGGUAAGGGUAAACCAUAAAACAUAUAUUUGGCUUACAAAAGAAAUGUUUAUUCUCCUCAGAAUGCCAGUGGUUGUGCAUUUUCUUGAGAUUUGAGGCUGGAUAAAAAUGUGCAACAGAGGUUCCCUAAAUAUGUCACUGCAAUAGCCAUUCAAGAUGUGGCACAGCCAGCCAGUUCGGAGAAACCCACAUGUGCCACACUAUACUUUCUACACUUAGCUAAUAUUGUGUGUUUUAAUAGAAUGUAUUCACAGUUACUGUGUCAUGUCUGAAAACAAUGAAAAGGGUUUUAAUAUACUUUAUGAUGUAUAGGUGGGAAGUGUGUCCCGUCAAAUGCAGGAUACACUGUUCUUAGUAAUUCUUGCUUUUGCCAGUCUUAUCAGUUAGGCAGGGUGCAUGCAGCUCUUGGGAUGGCUGCUUUACAAGCUAUUGUAAAUAGCAUUGAGGCUUUGUCACUGUCAUUACCACAGCUGAUCAUUUAAAUACUUUAUUUUUAGAAGACAGUGAGUUUAUGUAAGAGGGAAAUACAUCGUAGAAAAAACCUGUGAAGACCUCUGCUCCAUUUUGCAGGAUCGUGCAUUUCUAAGCAGAAGGUUGGAGAGCAGUCUCUCUGGAUGGGAUCUGAGAGUUGCGAGAAAUAGAAACUCCAUUUUUUUUAUCAUCUCUUGAUCAAUAUUUAGAGGAAUAAAACAUCAAUAUCUUUUUCUUUUUUUUCCUCAGAGUAUUUUACAAAGUCUUAGAAACACAUGGUAUUGACUUUUCCAGUUAGUUGAAACUGCCUAACUGUUUUAAAAGAACAUCAGGGAAGCAAUAAGGGAUAGCAUAAGCAAAAUAAAUAUUAAAUCAGGGGGACAAUUAUGACUUUCCUUAAGUAACCAUGCAAUCCCUUUUUUCUUAUGGUAACAUAUUUUCCACAAAGAAGACUCUUCAAGGUUGAAUCCUGUACAGUCUCUCUCUCUCUCUCUCUCUUUUUUUUUUUCUUCACACAGGGCAAAUCAAAUGCUGAAGAACAUUUUUUGUUAGGAAAGCACAUAAAAAUUUUUGAAUAUACCAAUAACAGAAAAAGUAUAUAUAUUUUUACUGCAACACAGAGAUCUCAUUGGUUGAGUGAAAUGGCGAGAUGUGACGCAAAAGGACACUUGGACGGGUAGAAAUGCUGAUGUAUGCCAAAGCAGGCGUACCAAGAAAUGCUGUUGCUAUGAGAGAAACAGAGGGAGAGAGAGAGAGAGAGAGAGAUCGUGAGAGAGCAAGUUGUGGAGGCCUUAUUUUCUCCUUUUUGGCUCAUAGCAUAGAGACUGCAACAUCUCCAGUUUCUAGCAGGAAGGGUUUAGAAGCCUUAGGGAAAUGUGCGUUGCUCCUCUGAAGCUGAAUCCUCAGGCAUUUGUGGCCCGUCUUUGCAGUCCGAUAUGUUUUUUUCGUGCUUGCAGCGUUGUUAAAGAGCAGUUACAGUUACUGCAGGGCAGUUACAGCGCAGCUGGUAACACGGCCGUGGGUUUUUUUGCAACUCCUACGCCUGUGCAUCAGUGUACACGCUCACCCUACUUGACUAAUAUUCCUGAGUGCCUGGAUGUAGCUCCCCUGUCUGUGUGAAAUCUACAGCAGCAGAACGACAGUUCUGAACUGAAAAAGCUCUUCCUCAUCAGAAUCUUCAUUCAACAUGCAGGAACAAAGUAUCUGAAGAGAAGUUUCCUAUUACAUCAUCUGCAGGACUCCCAGAAAAUUAUUCUGCAACUUGGGGUAAGAUUAUAAACAAAACAAAACAACUUAGUUGUAAAGUAGAAGCUGAUAGGAAGUGUGAAGGUAUAAUCUAGGGCAGAGAAGAAGAUACUGUUUGUAGAUUGACCUUUGUACUGAAAUGUCUUUCAGAGCAAUUCCAUGUAAGAAAAUUUUCACGUGGUAUUUCUUCGUAUGGUGAAAACAGAAAUAACAAUAAGUCCAAGUUUAUUACCAGGAUUACAUAUAUAUAUUUGAAUAAGUGUUUUAUUUGCUAUUCAAAAAUGAAAAUAUACAUUGUGUUUUCUCUAUUUUUAUGGUAUAUUUCAAAGUACAGAAAUACUGAACUACAAAAUACAACUUUUAGUGUAAGUAUGGAGAGCACGAAUCUCUAAAUAAUACUGUAAAUUUUGGCUUGCUUAGCUCCUGAGAAAUAGCUGAAAUUUUUGCAUUUCAUGCAGUUAACAUCAGUCUCAUUCUUAGCGUUUUUGUUUUGUAUUCAGUGAUAAUAUCCAUUAUCUUACAUUUGGUGAAUUAAAUUAUGAUAGAAUCAUAUGAUAAUUCUUCUGGUUUAUUUGCUUAUUGCAAUAUCAGUUUGAGGUGUCAUCAGGAUACCUUCUCUAUGACUGUAGUACAUCACAUGCAAAAUAUUUUCCAAAGGAUAGUAGUACUUUCUCAUAUACAUGAAUCUUUCUUCUGCUUCUGUUUCAGAUCACAUACAUAUAUAUAAAACAAUAAAAUUCAUGCCAAAUACUUUGUUGUCUAAAUGUAUACAGUUCUUAAUACUGCAGGCAUUUACAUUCAUGGCAGUAUAACAAAUAAUGGAAUGCUCACUUUGUAGCUUUAGGAGUUUGGCUAGGGCAUACAAACAAUUUAUUUUUCAUUUGUUUGUAGUCAGACAAGUUUAUAAUUAAGACAGUAGUGGGCAUACACAUUCCUGCAGCCUUUGCAUCUCAUCUUUCUUGCUGACAUCAAAGGGAAUAUUUGUGGUAGAAGACAUUGCAGUUGGUAAUAAGUGUUUGUGGGAGAAUCAAUAGUGUGAGGAUCCUUUCUUGUAAUCUGGUUAUCCUCUACCACCUACCAUCUGUAUGCCUACAAUGAAGGAAAAGCAUGCUUGCAUUUUUGUUAUCAUUCCAAAUGCUGUAGAUAAAAAUGAUAGCUGUAUACCGGUACCACGUUCUGGGCACACCCCAGACCACCAGAGAUAUUAAGGAAAAUGUGCUUAUAUAAAAGCACAUUAUAUUAAAAGACUUACAUGACCAUUACAACAGUGUCUGAUUUUUUAGAAAAGUGUGGUGUGAAUUUCUCUUUUGCUUAUGAAUUUGUUGCACUGAUUGUUGCCUGUAUGGUCCAACUAUAGAUUAAAUCAAGAACAGAAUAAAACUGGAAGUGAACAGGAAUCUUGACACACUUUGUUUAGUACAGGAGAUAUAGAGAGAGGCUGCAAAGAUAUGGAGUCCUCAUGUUAUUUACCUACCAUGCUGUGCACGGGAGGAUGGUUAGCAUCAGGCAAGCUACGAAAGACCCACAGAGAAGAAAAAUCUGAUUAACAGCACCUAGAAGUGGGCUAACGAAUCCCCUGCAAGGAACUGGACCAUUGGGAACACUAAACUUUCAGACCAAGAAGACUUCAUACGUAUAUGGGAGAACUGUGGCUGUUACAUGACACCAACAAUGGGAAUAAAAGUGGCAAAAUGCAGCGUAUCUAUCUCAGGCUGCCCCUAAAAAGAUGAAGUAGUAAUCUGGCAAAGUGAACUCAAGAGGCACAAAGAGAAGACAUCAGAGACUGAUCUGCAAGGUGUUCAGGUCCACUGAUAAGACGCAAACCAGAAUCUGCUUACCAUUGUCUAUUCCAAAUACAGUGUCAAAGCUAACAAGGGAGACUGAGAAGUAGCAUGACUCCAAAGAGAAGCAUUGAGAAUGACUUACUGGGGAACCAAGUUGUAAGAUGAACGCUAACCAAGCUAGAAGAGGAAAGAUGUGAAGAUUGGUCACCUAUGCAAAGGAAAUGACAAGGUUUCAUCUCCCCUGGCUGCUGGCCUCACCCUGAUUUCUGGGCAUUGGGAUCUGGUAACCGUGAGUUCCUGCUGCUGCUGCUGCUCCUGCAGCUGUCCGUGUCACGCCUGGCAGCCAUCUUAGGCUGGGCAGAAAGCCCACCAGAGCUAGCACAGCAAAUCGGCUGGUUCCCAUAUCGAUUAUGCUAAGAGCAGUGAAAGAUCACUUCAGUUGCCCUGAAACGUGAACUGCCUCCUUUGGGGUGAGAUCUGCUUCAUAGUGAAGCAUGGCUUUAGUUUCUGUGUGUAUUAUUUAUUGCUUUCUUUAGCUUACCGUUAACAAAGACUAAGUUAGCUUGUGAAGUUGGGGUAUUUGCUUUGAAAGUCUGCUUAUUUAUUAAAGCAGUAUUUAUAUUACAAUAUGGACUGGUAUAACGGUUCUUUUCACUUCUUUGGAUUUUCCCUCAAUGGGAUGUGUUGUGGUACAUCAAACCAGACGGCAGGCAAUAACAAGCUGCUCAAACUCUAGCAUAGUUGUGAGAUUAAAGUAGAUUAUACUAUAGUGGCAAUUUUGCUAGUCAUGUUAACUAAAGUCUGUGUAGUACAGUAGUGUAUGUUUAGUUUGGCCAUUGAUUCAGAGCUGGGUUACUGUCCUUUGAGGAGUAGCAUGUUGCUUAAGUAAGCCUUAACAUUUUCUCACAGUCUGGACAAAUUCUUGAUUCAGUCUUAUGGAUUUACCCAUGCAGAACUUGGGAAAGUCAGUCAGAGAAACUCAGCUGUUCCCCAUUAGGGUAAUAGAGGAAUAUCUAGAAGGCAGUGUUAAACAAUCCCUCUAAAUCAGCAUCCACUUUCUAAGUCAUUGCAAUGCCUUUCUUAAAGUGACAAAACUGGUUUGAUAAGAUGCAGUCAUGUCAGAGCUGGAAGUACAAAAGUGCAUUUAUUAAAAAUGAAUGCUGUAUCCUCUUUCCCCUUGUGUGUCUUGUCACUGACAUGACUUCACAAGUUGCAAAUCUAUUAAACAUUUCAAAUGUGAAACUAGAGCUCAUUAAGCAAAAUGUCAGCUGGUAUGUAGCAAACUGUUUCAGACUGUACGCUGUUAAUAUUUAUCUCCAGAGUUUUCUGUCUUCUAGGUUGUCACCAAGUCAUCCAGCUGUCUGGGAAUAUAGUUUGUCUUUCGUCUGAUCAGAGUCUGACUGUCCUUUGGGGUGAGGUAGUAGGUUGUAUAGUUUUAGGGUUAUGCCCUGCCUGUCAGAUAACUAUACAAUCUACUGUCUUUCCUGAAGUGGCUGUGAUAUCAUCGCUGGAUAUGUCUUCAAAAGGCAAAGUAAAUAUAUUUCAAUUGUAACAUUCUCUGGCUCUGACUACACGUUGAAUUUGGUUCUUAUAGCAGGGUUAUGAAAGAACACAAACGUCCUUAUAUUGUUUAAAUUCCUGGAUCUGCCAUUUAGAUUCAAAAGUAAUUUCCUUUUUGUCAUCUUCUCAGAGGAGGUGUGUAAGUGACAGGGCACAGAGGUACAACCCAGUCUACUAUGGGUUUGCUCAUGCUCAGCUUUCUCCAACUGCCAGCAUGCUCUUGAGAGUGGCUGUUUGGAAAAAGCUGACCCAUUUCUUCAUUACUUUGUGGCAUUUGUGUUUAUACUCAAUGGAAAAUGCCAAUUUUGAUUGAGAAGUUAUUUAAAUCCACUUUGCAUACGCUGUUUGACAAACUAAGUGAUGACUUGGAUAAUAAAACAAAGAGGAUGUCUUCCAGUUGCUCAUGUUCUGCCCUGGAACCAGUAAAUGCUAAGUAAAAAGACCCUAAGUCUCUUAACUAACUUUAGCAAAAUCCUAAGUAAAGAGAUUUUUAAAAUCAGUUAUUGAACACUGAUUUAACUUACUUUUAUAUUACAUAAUGCUAACUUGGGAGGGCAUGUGCUUUCCACUGCAGUUCUUCUGUCUGUGGAGUCACCCGACCAAUUCUGAUGAACUUCCAGGAAGAACACAGAGGAAGGGUUGACAGGACAUAAUUAUGGUCUUUUUAAGACUAAGAUACACGUGGGAUAGAAGGUGUUCAGGAAAUCUUACUUGCAAAUGAUGAAAUGCUAGUAUUCUUCAGAAGAUCCACUUGAUGCUCUUAACAGGAUGAGGUAGUAGGUUGUGUGGUUUCAGGGUAGUGAUUUUGCCCCAAUCAGGAGAUAACUAUACAACCUACUGCCUUCCCUGAUAAGCAGCAUAACAUCAGUGUCUUAAUUCACAGAAAUUCAAGGGCUGAAGUAGACUUCUGUGACCAGCACAGUAAGUCUACAUACAAUUGUUGUUGCCCUGUCCCUAAUAGCUCUAAUUUUCAUGUCUUGCUUUGUUUUUAAUAACUGCCUGCAAAAUAAUGAUCUUUUUUAAACUAUUGGGAAAAAAAUGAAUUAAAGAAAUUUUGCUUAUUCCAAAGUUUGUCUGUCCUUAAUCUGUUUCGUUUCUGGUUCAUUUCAGUGGAAUGAAGUUAUCGUGGGAAAUGAUUCCAAAAAUGCUGUGAACUUGCAUUCAAGAUGUUCGUGUUUCCUUGACAUCUUAGUUUGAGUCCAAGAAAUUUUACUAGCAGAGCACUGUUCUUGUUCAACCCUCCCUCCCUCCCAGGAAUCUUCCAAUGUUUCACAAAUAAUAGCAGAUUAACUCACACAACACUCUUCAACAGAUCAGCUUUGUAUUACAAAUAAAAAGCUAUAACAAUGAAAAUCAAGGACCAGAUUAAAAAAAAAAAAAAACAGACAUUGAUUUUUUACCCUCAGCUGCUCAUAGGCAGUCUCAUUUCAUGACAUUGAAAUGGUCCCAAAAGAGAAUUCAUUGACUAUCUAAAAGGAACAAAUUGCACCUGGAAAACCAUGGACAGAAAAUAUUAGAUCCAAUAAAGAUGUUUUGAGAAUACAAACUAUAGUCUUACACACCCAAAAAAAAAAAUCUCUGGAAGAAAAGGGGAUAUAGCAACAAGGUGCUGGUUUCAGUUGUAGGCACUGAAAUCAUUCUUCCACGUGCAAAAUGUAUCAGGAAAUACAAAUCAUGUAAAACUUAAGGUUACCUUAAGAUCAGGGGUAUCAAGCUGGUUAUGUAGAGCCAUUUGUGUAUAUUUUGAUUAUACAGCAUCUGAUUACUGUAAAGAGGAAUGAAAAUUUAAGUUAGUUGUAAUCCUUUAUUCCUAUCUCACAUGCUAUACAAAAGAAAGCCUUGCUCACAUAAAAAGCAUUACCCUCAUACCUAUACGUAGGCAAGCUCAGACAUCCAUGGUGAGAAAAAAAAAAAAAACCCUGAUGUUACAUUCAGCAGCAAAACUGGGUAUUUUAUUACUUCUCUCAUCCAAAAAUAUCACACAUAUCUGGACUCGGAAGGUUUUUGAGGUCACUCAACACUUCAAAACAGGGCCAUUUGUUAAUACCUUUAAUAAAUGGCUAGGAAUGUUAUUUGACUCUUGUUCAUAGGAAUAAAUGCAGUUGGUAGACGAGGAAAAAUUACUACGUGUCUGAAAAACGUAGGAGAAUAGGCAAUACUGAGGCUGGUUUUAAUCUUCUCUUUUCUUCUUGCUGUUUAAAGAGGAUCUCUUAAUUUAAAACUGCUGUAAGGAUACUUACCAUGCUGGCCAUGUUCAAGGGCUCCAGGACAUGCGUUGCAGAUCCUGAACUCUUCUGCUGAAAAUUCAGACUCACAGCUGCAGCAUAAACAUCUUAGAUGAGCGAGAAAGUACACAUAUAUACAACAUAAACAUCAACCAGCUCCCUGCCAUCAAGGCCACCAUUUACAAAUUUUAGAUCUCUGCUGCAAGUAUGUGUGGAACCUUACACUUCUUCCACAAGGCAGGUAAGUUUUUGAGUUUUGUUUUAACAUGUGCAAACCUCCUUAUUCUCUAAAAAUGGAUGCCCAGCAUGAAAAUUUUGACUCCAUUGGCUAAAAGACUAAAACAAAUGUAAAUGUUUUUAGAGAAGCUGGGUAACUCUAGCAAAAGUCUGUGCUACCUGCCACACUUGCAAAAAUCUGUGCUGCUACAGUGCAUAGGUACCAUGAGGUGCCCGCUGUGGGGCUGUUCCUCUGGAGCCACUCUGGAGAAGACAAAAGCCUUGAACACAGAAAUAGUUAACUGGGAGGUCCACUGAAAGAGCAAAUUACAAGGGGGAUUUAUACUGGGAGAGGAUCCAAAAAUGCAGUAAAACCAUAGCUGGUACACCAGUCAGUGUUGAUACAGAUUCACUAUGACACAACAUACUGCAAAACAAGAGUUGCAC